CAGUUGUCUUUAAAUCAUACCCUAUCUUUGUUGAAACAGUUGCUCUAAAUGCUAUCAAAUCUUGCUCUUUAGCCAGCCUUGACAUUAAUAUAAGUAGAUAAUUUUUAUCACAUUAAAUUGUUCAUCUAGCAAUUGCUUGCUAUUCACUAGAAAGAACGGUGUGUGCGAAUGCUCUGGCUACACUUAUAUUAGGUUGUAAAAAUGAUUCAUGAAUAAUUACUACAGUAUAUAGCACAGCAGGAAAAAAUCUGGAUACAUUAAAAAGAAUCAUUUCACCACUUCACACCUAUGCCACAUUGUGUAGAAACUUUCCCUAUAUAUUUUAUUCUCUCAUUAUUUACCUUCUCAAUAAAUUUAUUUCUACACUUUCACUGGCCUUGCUUUUCUUCAUAGUGUGAUGAAACAAGAUACUUAUUUUUCAUGUCAAAGAGAAAAAUCAAACCAAACUUCAAACCUCUUGCUUUAGUACAAAUUCAACUG
rnacentral:lncRNA from 1 species